AGAACGAACGCUGGCGGCAGGCUUAACACAUGCAAGUCGAACGCGUGUAGCAAUACACGAGUGGCGCACGGGUGAGUAACGCGUGGAUAUCUGCCUUUUGGUUCGGAAUAACCCCGGGAAACUGGGGCUAAUACCGGAUGGUUCCUACGGGAUAAAGAUUUAUCGCCAAAAGAUGAGUCCGCGUACGAUUAGCUAGUUGGUGAGGUAAUGGCUCACCAAGGCGACGAUCGUUAGCUGGUCUGAGAGGACGAUCAGCCACACUGGGACUGAGACACGGCCCAGACUCCUACGGGAGGCAGCAGUGGGGAAUAUUGGACAAUGGGGGGCAACCCUGAUCCAGCCAUGCCGCGUGAGUGAUGAAGGCCUUCGGGUUGUAAAGCUCUUUUGGCGGGGACGAUGAUGACGGUACCGCAGAAUAAGCCCCGGCUAACUUCGCGCCAGCAGCCGC
rnacentral:rRNA from 1 species